rnacentral:rRNA from 1 species
AAGCAACGCGAAGAACCUUACCAGGCCUUGACAUGCAGAGAACUUUCCAGAGAUGGAUUGGUGCCUUCGGGAACUCUGACACAGGUGCUGCAUGGCUGUCGUCAACUCGUGUCGUGAGAUGUUGGGUUAAGUCCGUAACGAGCGCAACCCUUGUCCUUAGUUACCAGCACGUUAUGGUGGGCACUCUAAGGAGACUGCCGGUGACAAACCGGAGGAAGGUGGGGAUGACGUCAAGUCAUCAUGGCCCUUACGGCCUGGGCUACACACGUGCUACAAUGGUCGGUACAAAGGGUUGCCAAGCCGCGAGGUGGAGCUAAUCCCAUAAAACCGAUCGUAGUCCGGAUCGCAGUCUGCAACUCGACUGCGUGAAGCCGGAAUCGCUAGUAAUCGUGAAUCAGAAUGUCACGGUGAAUACGUUCCCGGGCCUU